CCGCCCUCGGCGCUGCCUCGCCCGCCCAGGAAGCCGUCCGCUAGGAACACCAGAUACGAGCGCAUGGAACACAGAGACGCACGAAAGGAUUCCGAUGGAUCUGGGUCCAUAGCGUCGAGCGCCUCCCGUAGCUCGCCGCUACCCUACGACACAGUGAGGAAACUGCCCUCGGUCCCGACUUCAGCGUCCCUUCCCGCGGCGGAAUCCCGGGAGUCCCUCGUGCGGCCCCGGGACUCCAGCCUCCCUUCGCCCUCCAAGCUGGCGGUCUAUGCCGCUGCUAGAAGGCGGUCGGCGGAAUCUGCGAAGGACAACAAAAGAGGACAUCACUACAGAAUUCAGUUCUAAGCUUGUUGAUUUAGCCAAUGACAGAUAAAUUAACACACCCCCAGGUAAAAAGUAGUCUUCAAGUUUUUUCUAGAAAACUGUUUUCUUAUGUGCAGUCCUUAGAAGCCAAUAAAGUUUUUUUGAAGAAGUAACACUGAUUCCCCCAGUGGUCAAAAUUUUAAGAAGAAAAAGAAACUGGAAGCUCAAUCCCCAUGGCUAAGAUAAAUGGUGCCGAAUAUGUAAGUAAAACGACAAGUUGCGCUUUUCAGACUAAAGACAGCUUGGCUCGUGUUGGACGAGUUAAACGAGUUAGCCGCCUGUGGCCGGGCUACUUUUACUGCCUAUCCGUUUAAAGAGCAGGUUCAGAGUGGAACACUUGCAAACUUCUUGACGAACAAUGUAUUGUGAGUAGAUAAAAUAACUUGACUUACAUGUAUAUUCCAAGAUACGGGGUAACUGCCCCUUUAUUACUAAAUUUUUCAGGAGCUAUAAUUUAGCUGUAUUUAUAUCAAACAAAUUAAUUAAGUAGCACACAAAAGUGUCCACAUUUAAGAAGGAAGCUGAUAAAAUAGUCAAUGGUUAUAGAACAAUAGUAAGAUGAUGUGUUUUGACCAAUCUUCAUGCAACCUCGUUAUGAAUAUUACGAGUAGAAUAUCCUAGAAAGUAAAGUAAUACCACAAAAUAGAAAAGUAGUGAUACGUUUUGGGUAUAAGUAAAAGUAAAAUUAAAUAUUAACGUGUUUUUGCGUGUUUGUAUAAAAAUUACAUCUAUUUACUUUGUUAACAACAGGUCCUGCUAAAAUUGGUUUUAAUUCAGUUAGCAAUGAACUGGUUUGGGUAGCAUUUGAAUUUGUAAUGAGGAUUUAAACACUUCUGGCCUGGUUAAAAUUAGUCUAGUCAUUAAUACGUCCAUAAAAACCUCGGAUGUAAAUCGGUUGUACUUAAUUAAUUAAAACUACUUUAAACUUACAAAAUAGUAAUUAUUUAGAUAAGUAUGUAGAGGAUAUUUUGUUCAACAACCAAAUAACAAAGUAUAUUUUAUUAUAACGCAUUUAAAUUGUCAAAAUAGCUCAAAUAAUAAUUAAGUUUACAACUAUGGUAUUAUCAAAUAAGACUUAUGAUGAGUUCGAAGAUCGUUGCAUCUAUUUCGAAAUGAAAUUGUUUGUACUACGGUGAUGGCUCUAACACCUUGACUUGUCUAUAUUCGCACUGUGUAUAUUCCCAUAGUAAGUAAAGCUAUGUAAAUUAAUUAAAUAUAUUUCAGAGAAAAUUAAAAAAUACUUCAGAAAAAAUAUAAUUUAAAAUUGCUAAAGGAAAGAAGAACCACAAAAUAUCUUGUGUUAAACUGUCUGUUUCUGAAAAUAUGUAAGUUAUAUGAUUUUUUAUACAAAUUUUAAACACAUUGUGCGUCUAUAGAUAACGUCCUGACUGACAAGAUAUCUGUAAAAUACUGAGCUCAUUUUAAUCAUGUAGAGUUAAUCAUGCUGACUCUACAUUUAUCAUACAUAAUUUAUCAAUUUGGUUGUUGUGAACUUCAUUGUGUGGAUUACAUGUAAUGUAAUUAUAAUUUCAUGUUUUUUCAAAUUAGUUUGUUUCUCGUCCCACCUUUUUAUGACAGAAUGUGUGGUUUUAUAACAAAAUUUGUGUAUUGCAAAUAAAUGAGACAAUUGUGUUA